rnacentral:rRNA from 1 species
GAUGAACGCUGGCGGCGUGCCUAACACAUGCAAGUCGAGCGUGAUUUAUGAGGACGAAACUUCGGUCUAGGAAUCAUAAUGAAAGCGGCGGACGGGUGAGUAACGCGUAGGCAACCUGCCCUUGACACAGGGAUAGCCUCGGGAAACCGGGAUUAAAACCUGAUGACGCCAAACAGUCACAUGGCUGUUUGGCCAAAGAUUUAUCGGUCAAGGAUGGGCCUGCGUCUGAUUAGUUUGUUGGUGGGGUAACGGCCUACCAAGACGACGAUCAGUGGCCGACCUGAGAGGGUGAUCGGCCACAUUGGAACUGAGACACGGUCCAAACUCCUACGGGAGGCAGCAGUGGGGAAUAUUGCACAAUGGGCGAAAGCCUGAUGCAGCAACGCCGCGUGAGCGAUGAAGGCCUUUGGGUCGUAAAGCUCUGUCCUUGGGGAAGAAACAAAUGACGGUACCCAAGGAGGAAGCCCCGGCUAACUACGUGCCAGCCGCCGCCGUAAGAC